CCGGGCCGCGGUGCACUGUGGGAUGUUGGAGGCCUCGCGUCGGGGCAGGAAGGAAGGGGGGGGUGUCAUGGCGACGAAUAUCGAGCAGAUCCUUCGGUCCUUUGUGGUCAGCAAAUUCCGGGAGAUCCAGGAGGAGCAGCAGCAGCAGCACGGCGGUGCAAAGGUGGAAGGCCAGCCCAAUGGUGACACGAUCCCAGCUGAGCAAGCUGGGCCUUCCGAAGCCUCUGGAGCUGCUGGGAGUUGUCAGAGUGAUCAGAUAGUGCAGAAAAUAGAGGAAGUGCUCUCCGGAGCCCUCGGGACAGAGCUGCAGUGCAACCCAGAUGUAGACAAAAAUACUGUGAAAAAUAGUACUCAGUCUACAAAGAGGAGCUCUACUGGUGAAGAUGAAAUUCCUAGGAAAAAAGCAAAGAAAAAUAAGAAGCACAAAAGCAAGAAGAAGAAGAAAAAGAAGAAGAAAAGGAAGAAAGAGAAAAAGCAUAAAAAACAACCAAAGGAAUCCAAGUUGAGUGCGCGUCCCGGAGAACCUGCAGGCGUGCAGCCGGCUCCUCACUUGAUGCCAGAGCAGUCCAGCUCCCAACUGAAUGUACAGCAUGGAGUGUUUGCAGAUGCAAACCUGGCUGGCCACGUGCAGCCAGAACUGUGCUCAAAACCAACUGAGGGGCUUGAUAAUCAAGCUUUAGGACUUGUUUCUCAUUCAGUGACUGAUUCUCAGCAACCUGCAGAACAUCUUGGAAGUGGGGAGGGGACUUUGUGUGCAACAAAUCCUCCGUUUAAUUUAGAAAGCAUCCAGUCUAAUAUCCCAGAAAAUACUAGUAUAGCUGAAACUAGAAUUUGCACUAGCGAAGAACAAAUUCAACAGUCUCAUGAAAAUAUUUAUCCUGUAGCUAUUAAUGCCAGUGUUGUUGAUACUGGAAAUUAUACUUGGUCCAGCGUCCCACCUGGAAUUGUCAAUAAAUCAGAGAUUCAGAAAGAUUCAGUAGGAGCACUAAGAGGUACAGAAGUCACUCCGCAGUCUCAAGGCAUUGCGGAAGUAAAAGCUUCAGACUCGGCUCUUGAGCCUGAGACCAUGGAGGUGUUGACUUACUCAGAGGUAUCUCAUCAGUCUGUGUCUCAGAGGGCACCACAGGGGUUGGAAGCAGCUUCAGAAUCCGUGUCCUUGGCAAGUAGUGUGACAACAACUCCUACACCUGCUAAUUGGGCACAUCCAGGUGCUGUGACUGUAGCUCAUGUGGAGGUGGCUGGGCAAGAAGUGAAAAUUCCAGAAACAACUGAAAAAUCUCUGCACAUGGGAAAUGUGAGAAGUGUGGAGAGAUCUUUGGAACUGGGGGAUGUGAACAGAGCUUUGGAGCCAUCCCUGCAGCCCUCGGUUAUAUCUGAGAGUCUGAGCAUGACGCAGGGCAGCCCCGUAGAGGCUUCCAGUGUUCUGAAAGCAGAUGUAUCUUUGCAGCAUCCUUUGACAGCCACCCCUGUGACCCACGUGGAAAUAAAAAGUGCCAAAACACCUCCAGGACCAGGAGCUGUUGCAAAAAUGAAGGAUAUGGAACCAGCUAUGGGAAAUGUGAAAGCUUUGGAAGCAACCAUGGAACCUGUGGGUGUUGCAGCAAAAGAUGUCAGAGCAGCUCAUGAAAGUCUCCAGGGCAAAAAUCUGGAAGGUACCACAGGUUCUGCAACAGCACUGGGUGCAUCAGGAAUGUUCCUACAACAUGGAGUCUUGACAGAAACAAGGAGUGUGGACAGAAUCCAGGGAUCUGCACUUCCAGCAGGAUUGACAGGUGUAAAUGUGGUUGCAGAGGCAAAAGAAUUGAGAGCAACUUCAGAACCCGCAGCAGUUGUACAGACCUUCAUUCCCCAAACAGCUCCAGAAGUCCAGAUGGCAGAGGGUUUUAGAAGUCCACAAGCAAAAGAUUCAGAAGGUAUUUCAUUGCUGAGAGAAGCGAGACCUGAGGGUGAAUCACAGGUGAGAGGUUUGGCACCUGCCCUGUCUUUGCAGAAAGAAAACAUACAAGAUCCAGGAGGAGUCCUGAGAUCAGUGACUGUGGUGGAAGCAAAACCUUUUACAACAGCUUCAAUGUCCUUACAAGUGGAAGGUGUGAAAGCUUCAGAAGAAGCUCUGCAUUGUGGGACUGUAGCAAGUCCAGGACUUCCUGCCUUAGAAAGGGUCCCUGAACCUUUGGUUGCGUGUGAAAGCGUGGAACCAGUUAGAGAGGCCGAGGCAUCAGCAGGGGUGAUGCCAUGGCAAGCCACAGCAGAGCGAGAACCUCUCCAUGCAAGCCAAACAGAGAGUUCCAUCAUUGCACAGUCACAGGUCAUGACACACACAAGAACCUCACAAGCUGAGGUGCUGAGGAAGAGAAAGGAUUCGGAACAUGCUCCAGAAGCAGAGACAAGGAGCAGAGAAGCAAUCCUAGAACCUGUACAAGCUUCAGAAACCAGUUCAAAAUCUAUUCAGGAACAAAUAGUAGGUCACUCAGCAGCAGGAUUGGAGCCUUUGCCCAGAGUAGAAGAAGACAGUAUGGCAUCAGGAGUACUGACAGAAUUGACAGAUGUGCAAACUCAGGGAUCUGCUGUAGAACAUGUCAUUGCAGCAAGGAGGACCAGCACACAAGGAAAUGAGCCCUCAGAAAUGGAGAAAGCAAAAUAUCUAGAGCCAACAUCAGAAGCUGGAGGAGUGAGGUGGUUGGAGAGCAUGAAAGAGUCUGCAGCAAUAGAGGUGAAAGGUUCUGGAACAAGUGAAGAGCUUGAGGUGCCCAUGGGUGAUGCUUCGGCAGCUGUUCCAGAAUACUUGCAUGCUGAAAAGCAGCAAGAGCUUCAAGCAGUUGUAGAAGCAAAACCUGCUGCAGAAUGGAAGAGUUCAGAAGAGGCUCCAGAAAGCAUGGGUGCUUCUGAAGUAAAAUCUUUUGAAACAGUUCCAAAACCAGGGGAUAUGGAAAGCCAAGAAACCACAUUGGAACAUGAAGUGACAGCCGAGGUACAAUAUGUAGAAGGAGUACAGAGUCAACAGGUGGAGGAUAUGGUGAUUGAGAAGGAAGAUGUGGAACAAGCUCAAACAUCUGAGCCUUUAGUAGCAGAAACAGUUUUUAGUUCUUCACAUGCAGCAGAGGAAGAAGUUUCAGCAGGGACUCCUGUAGCAGAAACACAAGAUUUGGAAACAGCUCCUCCGACUGAUGUAGCGCAGAAAGAAGCAGAAGCAGCUGUAGGGUUGGAGUCAGAGACAAAAGAUUUGGAAUCAGCUCCAGUACCUGAGACUGAUGCAGAAGCAGGUCCAGAAGCUAUAGAAGAAGGCCAGUUGGAAGACACUCCAGAGGCUGAGGAUGUCAAAGAAGCAACUCCUGAAGAAGACUCAGAAAAAAGAGACUCAGAAACAUCCGAUGUACAACCUGAUGUGGCAGCACGAAUGAAGGAGACUCUCAUGAGGCUUGAGAACGUUAUUGAAAAAAGUAGUCAUAGAACCAGUGAGAAAAAACAUGAUUCAAAGAAACAGAAAAGGAGCCGUUCCAAGUCUCAGUCUAGGUCUAGGAAGCGGAAGAAAAAAUCAAGGUCACGUUCUACUUCCAGGCGUCUGACCUCUAAAAGAGCACGUUCUAGGAGCAGAAACUACUCAGUUUCCAGAAAAAAGCAUUCCAAAUCUAGGUCCCGAUCUGUGGAGAAGAGAGAGAGAAGAGUGUCUUCCCGGCGGUCCAGGCGCAGACGUUCUAGGUCAUCUGAUCGUUACAGGUCUAAAUCCAGAUCAGUAGAAAAGAGAUUGUCCAGACGGAGGCGUUCCAGGUCGUCUGACCACUACAGGUCUAAAUCCAGGUCUUUGGAGAAGCGGCUGUCCUCUCGGAGGUCCAGACGCAGACGUUCCAGGUCAUCUGACCGCUACAGAUCCAAGUCCAGGUCAGUGGAGAAGCGAUUGUCCUCCCGAAGAUCUGGGCGCAGACGUUCCAGGUCUUCCGACCGCUACAGGUCUAAGUCACGGUCAGUGGAGAAGCGACUGUCUUCCCGAAGGUCCGGGCGGAGACGUUCCAGAUCUUCUGACCGCUACAGAUCCAAGUCCAGGUCAGUGGAGAAACGGCUGUCCUCCCGAAGGUCUGGGCGGAGACGUUCCAGGUCUUCUGACCGCUACAGAUCCAAGUCCAGGUCAGUGGAGAAGCGGCUGUCCUCCCGAAGGUCUGGGCGGAGACGUUCCAGGUCUUCCGACCGCUACAGGUCUAAGUCACGGUCAGUGGAAAAGAGGUUGUCCUCCUGGCGGUCCCGCCGCAGACAUUCCAGGUCCUCUGACCGUUCAAAAUCUAGAUCCAGGUCUUCAGAAAAGGGAGGAGGCAAAGAAUACUCCUGGAGGUUCAGACAUCGAUCUGGUUCCUCUGAUCGUUCAAAAUCCAGGUCAAGAUCUGUUGAGAAAAGAGGUCGGAAGGCAUCUGUACGGAGGUCCAAACGUCAGCGCUCAAAGUCCUCGGAUCGCUACAAAUCUCGAUCCAGAUCAGUAGAAAAAAGAGAUCGGAAGCAAUCAUCACGGAAAUCUAAACGUCAGCGCUCCAAGUCCUCUGACGGUUACAAGUCUAGAUCCAAAUCAGUGGAAAAAAAGAAGGAAUCCUCACGAAAAUCCAAGCGUCGACGCUCAAAAUCUUCUGAGCGUUACAAGUCGAGGUCUAGGUCUGUUGAAAAAAAGCGCAAAGACUCUUCAAAAAAAUCCAAACGGAAACGUUCCAAGUCCUCUGACAGUGUUAAGUCAAGGUCCAAAUCUGUAGAAAAAAAAGACAAGUUAUCCUCAACAAAGUCUGGUAGCAAGCAUUUGGAGUCUUCUGAGCUUCAGGAGUCAGCCAAAGGUCUUGAUAAAGAUGUUCCUCAGUCUUCUUUUGGAAGUGAAGGUCAGUCCUCUAAUGGUCCCACAUCAGCAGCUUUGUCUGAUGAAGGAGUAAAUGGUCCAGUGCUUCCACCAUCAUUUGGAAGUGGAUUUUCCAAAACUUCUGAGAGCCUUGAGGAAAGCUCAUCAGUUGAAAAAACAGAUCUGCAGCAUUCUGCCACAUCUGAAUUUGAUACCUCCAAAACCCCAGAUGACCAGGAAUUGAGAUCCACAUCUGUGGAAAAAACACAGGAUACGGAGCUUUCUGUGACACCUGAAAAUGGAUCAACUGAAAAACCAGCAGCUCUGGAGUCUUCACUGCUACCUGAACUUCCAUACUCCACAUCCAAGUCAAGAUCCUCAUCUGUUGAAAAAAGGGGAGAUCUGGAAACUUCUUCAGUAGCAGAACUCCAUCUCUCUGCAUCCCGUGAAGAUGAGCCCAGAACUGCACCUCUCAAAGAAGUAGAAGGUCCAGAGCUUCCUCCAGCACUUAAAAGAGACAUGCAAGUUCAGUCAUCUUCUCUCCUGUCCGAAGGUGGGCUCUCCAACUUGUCUGAUGGUCAUGAAUCACGGCAUAUCCCUGGUGAGCACACAGAGCUUUCACAGGUUCUGCAAGUACCUGAACAUGAGUCUUCCCGGCUGGCUGACAGCCCCGGAGCAGUGGAAGUUCAGAGGCCUUUUCUGCCUCCUGAAAUGAUCCGCCCUGUGGUCCCUGAUGGCUGUGAGUCAGGCCAGGUGCAGGAGCCUUCUCUGGCUUCUGACAGUGGACACUUCACAUCUCCUGAUGGACAUGGAUCAGGAUCCAGCUUUGCUGCACCAAUAGAGGAACAUCCAUUGCCUGUGGGCGAGUCCUUUAAGUCACCACAUGGAAAUGAGCAAAGAUUUUUAUCUGUUGAAAAAGUCAAGGCUCCAGAUGUUUCCCUGACCUCUGUGUGUGGUUCUGUUGAGGUGUCUGCUGACCUCAUUUCAGUGUCUUCUUUUGAAGUUCAUGACUCCAGAUCAUCUGUUGACAAGGGUUUAGAUGGUCCAGCACUUCCACAAGUGCUUGAGGUUGACUGCUCCAGAUCUUCAGAAGUGCACGAAUCAAGAUACCUAACUGGAAAAAUAGAUGGUGCAGGAUCUUUGGUGAUGUCUAAAAGUGGGAUUCCCAUAUGCCAUGAUGGCCACAAAGCAAAGUACAAUUCCUUUGAGCAAACAGAGAGUGCAGAACUGUCAGUGGCAUCUGAGCUCCGGUGUUCCAUCUUUCCUGAAGGCUAUAAAUUGACAUCUGCUGCAGUUGAAAAAGUGGAGAUCCAGAAGCCUUCUCUCUCACUGGAAAGUGGCUUCUCUGCAUCUGCUGAUGGUUGUGAAUCAGCAGGCACACCUGAAAAACUACAGCCCCCAGUGAGUGCUGUGACAUCUGAAGGUGGGAUUCUGCUGUUGCCUGACAGUCACGAGCUGAGACCCGUCCCUGCAGAAAAAGCAGAGGUGCUGAAUUCAUCUGAACUGAAACACCUGGCGUCCCCCGAUGGCUACAAGCUGAGAUCUGCCUACAGUGAAGAAGUACAGGUGCAUGAACCUGUUCUGAUAGUGGAAAGCAGGUGUUCUGUUGCCUCUGAUGGUCAUGAGUUGGCAUCCACCCCUUUGGAAAGAGCUGAGGAGCCUUCUCAAGUGUCUGAAAAUGAGUACACGAUAGGGCUUGAUGGCCCGGAGUUGACAUCAACUCCUGCUGAAAAAGCGGAGCUGCGGAAGCUGUACCAGAUGCCUGAAGAAAGAUGUCUGGAGUCCAUCGACAGCCGGGACCUACGAUCACCCUCUCCUGAAAACACACAUGUACAACAGCAUGCCCUGGUGUCUGAAAAUGAACAGGCCAUUUCCUGGGUGGGCCAGGAGUUGAGGUCCAGCUCUCCUGGGAGGGCAGAGAUGCAGGAGGAGGCUGUGGUUCCUGACAGUCAAGUGUCUUCUGAAGAUCAAGGACUGCCCUCUUUCUUGGCUGGAAAACCACAAGUGCAGGAAUGUUCUCUGCUGCCUGAAAAUGAGUAUGGUGAGUCUCCUGAGGGCCAGGAGGUGACAGCCAGCCCUGCUGAGGAGGAGGUGCAGGAGCCUUCUCUGACACCUGGCAGUGAAUAUUCCAUCUUCCAUCAAUGCCAAGUACUGCGGCCUGGCCUCGCUGAAAGCACAGCAGUGCAGGAGCCAGUGCUGGUCCCAGACAACCAAUAUGCUGCAUCUCCCAAGGGACAGGAGCUGCUCAGUGCUUACACUGAAAAACCAGAGGUGCAGGAGUGUUCUUUGCUGUCUGAAAACAAGUACAGUGCGUCCCCCGAAAGACGUCAUUUGAGAUCCAGUCCUGUUGAAAAAGAAGAAUCGGGGGAACAUUCUGAAACAUCUGAAAGUGAAAGUUCAAUAUCCACCGAGAGCCAGGAGUUGCAUUCUGCUGUUGCUGGAAAAACAGAGGUGCAGGAGUUGUCCUUGUCUGAAGGUGAAUGUCCCAUGACCCCUGAAGGUCAGGAGCUGCAGUCCAGCCCUGCUGAAAGAGUAAUAGCCAAGGAACCUUCUCUGACAUCUGAACAUGCUCUGUCACCUGAAGAGUCUGAGUCGAGAUUGGCAUGUGCUGAGAAAACAGAGGGUGUGGAUUCUGCUUUGACAGCUGAACGUGACCAUCUCUUUUUUGAGAGCCAGGAGGUGAGUUUCACCUCUCUUCAAAAAGCAGACCAUUCUCCAGCACCUGAAAAUGAGCAUGGAGCAUCUCCUGAUGGGCAGGAGUUGAGAUUCACCACUAUUGAAAAAGUAGAUGGCCUUGAACCUUUGAAUGAUAGAGCCUCCAUGUCCCCUGAUGACAGUGACUUGAAAUCUAUCCCUGUUGAAAAAAUGGAUCAUGCAAUGCCUUCUUUAAUGCCUGAGGGGCGCUCGGUGUCUCCCGAUAACUACAGUGUGAGAUCAGGGCCUGGUGAAGAAGGAGGAGAUCUGGAGCCCUCUUUGAGAUCUGAGCGUAGAUAUUCCACAUCCUCCUAUCAGGAAGGCCACGAGCCGAAGUCUCCCAUGGAGGAGGAGGGUCUGGAGUCCUCUGUGACUUCUGAGCAUAGACAAUCCCUGUCCCCUGAGGGCCACGACCAGAAAUCUAUUGCUGAUGAAGAAACUGAUGAUCUGGAGAGGCGUUCCACUUCCCCUGAUGAGCACGAGUCAAGAUCUAGCAUUGGUGACGAAGCAGAGGAUCUGGAGCAGCCUUUGAGAACAGAACGUAGGUGCUCUGAGUCCUCUGAUGAGCGCGAGUCAAGGUCAACCACUGGAGAAGAGGCAGAGGAUGCAGAGGCCUCCUUGGCAGCUGAAAGAAGAGACUCCAUAUCCUCUGAUGACCGUGAAUCAAGGUCUGCUGCUGGGGAAGAUGUAGAAGAUGGGGAGCCCUCUUUGACAGCUGAACGUAGACACUCCACAUCUUCUGAUGACCGUGAGUCAAGGUCUACAGCUGAUGAAGAAGCAGAGGAUUUGACAGCUGAACAUCGCUCUGUGUCUCCUGAUGGACGUGAGUCGAGGUCAACCGUCGGGGAGGAAGCAGAGGACCAGGAGCUCUCUUUGACAGCUGAGCGUAGACACUCCACAUCUUCAGAUGAACAGGAGUCCAGGUCCACGGCUGGGGAAGAUGCAGAGGAUGUGGAGCCCUCCUCGGCAGCUGAACAAAGAGAUUCCACCUCAUCGGACGAGCAGGAGUCAAGGUCUACUGCUGGUGAGGAAGCUGAGGAUGUGGAACCUCUGACAGCUGAACACAGACGUUCCACCUCCCCUGAUGGGGCUGAAUCAAGGUCUACCACCGCUGAGGAUGAAGGAGAGGAUGCAGAACCCUCCUUGGCAGCUGAACAAAGAGAGUCCACAUCGUCAGAUGAGCAUGAGUCAGAGUCUUCCAGUGGUGAAGAGGAGGGAGAGGAUGCGGAGCCCUCUUUGGCAGAUGAGGAGAAGCAGGAUUCCAUGCCUCUUGAGCAGUCAGAGGAACAGGACUCUUCCUUUGUCCCUGAAAGCAGACGUUCCGAGUCUUCCGAACGUGAAAAAUCCAGAUCCAAAUCUGUUGAUAAAGCAUCUGACAAAGAGUCUCCUCAGAGAUCUGUAAGCAGACACUCAAAGUCUCCUGCUCGCCAGAAGAGUCGAUCGACAUCGGUAGAAAAAACAGCAGACAAAGAGUCCGUGCGGAGGUACAGACGGAGACGCUCCAGAUCCACGGCUCACCAGAGGAGCCAGUCAACGUCUGUGGAGAAAACAGCAGACAAGGAGUCCUCACGCAGGUCCAGGCGGAGACGCUCCAGGUCUGCUGCUCGCCAGAGGAGCCAGUCCAAGUCAGUGGAGAAAGCAGCAGACAAAGAGUCAUUGCGCAGGUCCAGAAGCCGCCGCUCCAGGUCCUCCCAGCGCAGAUCCAAGAGAUACGACACGGACUCGCGCUCCAGACGGAAUCGCUCCAGGUCAGCAACGCGGAGAAGAGCGUCCAGAUCUCGGUCCAGCUCGCUGUCACGUUCCAGGCACAGGAGGAGAAGCAGGUCAAGGUCGGCAUCACGAAGGCGGCGUUCCUUGUCCAGAGACAGGCGCAAGAGGUCUCAGAGAAACAGAUCGAGGUCUACCGACAGGAGAAGGAGAAGAUCCGACUCCAGAGACCGUAGGAUAUCGCUCCGAUUGCGGAGCAGGAGUCGGACCCCUCUUCGCCAGAGGCGGUCGCGGUCCAGGGGAAGGAGACGGAGCUCCAGCAGGUCCCCGAUCCGACUGCGGCGCUCGCGGUCCUCGGGGAGAAGGCGCUACAGCAGAUCCCCCGACCGGCGCAGGUCCAGGUCCUCGGAGUUCUCCAGCAGAUCACCCAAACGUCUUACAGACCUGGACAAGGCCCAGCUACUUGAAAUCGCCAAAGCCAACGCAGCCGCCAUGUGUGCGAAGUCUGGCGUGCCCUUGCCCCCGAGCCUGAUGCCUCUGCUGUCCCAGAAGAAGGAUGACAAGGCCAACCAGAAGUCCUCGAGGGACACCCUGAAGGAGCUCACUGAGAAAUGCAAGAAGAUUGCUCAGAGCACUGAUGAUGUGAUCGUGAACAAGCCUCACGUUUCUGAUGAAGAGGAGGAAGAACGUCCUUUCUAUAACCAUCCUUUCAAGCUGAGUGAACCCAAACCUAUUUUCUUCAAUUUAAGUACUCCCAGCAUAAAGCCAGCACCACCACCCCAACCAAAAAACCAGGUCAGCCUGUCCAAGGAAUUCCCUGUUUCCUCUGGGUCUCAGCAUAGGAAGAAGGAGGCAGACAGUGUGUAUGGAGAGUGGGUUCCCGUGGACAAAAACGGCAAAGACGACGGCAAGGACGAUGUUUUCCCCAAGCCAGCCAUUGAGUGUGUGGACAUAACCACAGCCAUGAACGACAGAGCAGUGGCCCAGAAAAGGCUGAAUGAGAACUCCUUUGACCUGGAGGCCAUGUGCAUGCUGAACCGGGCACAGGAGCAGAUCGAUGCCUGGGCUCAGUCCAACUCCAUCCCCGGGCAGUUCACGGGCAGCACCGGAGCACAGAUCCUGUCCUCGGACGAGCUCACCAACAGCGGGCCCCAGGCGUGGAUUCGAAAGGGUCAAAUCCUUGUAGCCGCCUUCUUGCCACGGUCAGUGCCAGCCCUACUAUUCACAACACUGCGGCCAGCGAGGCCUAGGAUCAGUUCUUAAGAGCAGCCCCUGUAACUGGAGGAAUGGGAGCUCAGCUGAUGAGGAAAAUGGGCUGGAGAGAAGGAGAAGGGCUUGGGAAGAACAAGGAAGGCAGCGUUGAGCCCAUCAUGGUGGAUUUUAAGACAGAUCGAAAAGGGCUCGUUGCUGUGGGAGAGAAGGCCCAGAAGAGGUCUGGCCAUUACGUGGUGAUGAAGGAUCUUUCAGGGAAGCACCCGGUGUCUGCGCUGAUGGAGAUCUGCAACAAGAGGAGGUGGACGCCCCCCGAGUUCGUGCUGGUGGAUGACAGUGGGCCUGAUCACCGCAAACAUUUCAUCUUCAAGGUGAGAGUCAAUGGCAACGAGUACAGGCCCACCUUUGCCAGCCUUAACAAGAAGCACGCGAAAGCCACGGCGGCCACGGCGGCGCUGCAGGCCAUGGGACUCGUACCAAAGGAAAGCAUGGUCAAUACCACCAUGUUCAGGAGUGCCUCACACCGCUAAGCUUGGCUUUGCUGGGACACUGGUUCUGAGCGUUUUACUCUGCACAAGAAAUGGUAUUUGCCCCUCUCAUGUUGUAAAUACAUCGGCGAUUCCCACCUUGUAAAAACUGUACAGACACCCACAGGUUUUUUCUUUUGUACCAUCCAAAUGUAUUUAAAUCAUACUUAGUUUUUGGUAUGUUUAUAUUGUUUACAUUAGUGAUGUAAUUAUUUCUUAAACGACUAAAAUCAGACGACAGACUCUGGAGGCAUCAGAAAUCCAGACCCUUGGCUGAAGCUCCUGCAGUUCCUCUCCUGUUGGAACAUUGACCCUUUGAUACAGUUUUGUAGUGGCUGCAGCGUUCCCUGGGCUCGGGGAGGUGCUCGGGGGCCGUGCCCGGGCUCUGCCCCUCGGUGCCCCCCGCGCCCGGGGACGCGAAGACUCGGACACGCCGUGGCUCCUGCAGGGCCCCAGCAGGGAGGGAGGAGCCUGGGGCUGCUCUUCCCGACCAGUGAAUCCACUGCCUGAUGCUGAUCGUUCGGAUUUGUGGUUCAUGUGAAUUUUAAACUCUUAACAAAAUCUACAACUGGAUUUGGGGGGAGGGAAGGGGGUAGAAUGACGCUUCAAUUGUUGUACCCAACUUGGUCAAUAAAGCAGCACAAGUUCAUAAUCUUCACCCCUGGUCAGUAAACAGUAAUUCCAGCGGAUGCCAAGCCAGGAAAGGGGAAUUCAAAUACGCCAAAAUGCCUUCUGCAAGAAACACACACGAUACAGAAGUGGCUUUGUGAGGAUUCUCAACAGCCAUUGGGAUGGCAGGAGCAGUCUGGUUAUUUUUGGUUGCUUCGAACUCUUACAGAAUAAAUCCUUGGGAUGAAAUGUUUCUUAAGGAUCCCAGGCCCUCAAGGAGCCUGAUCCAGAGUUUGGGCAGUUGGACAGCAGAGAAGAUGUAGAAAGCUUUUCCUGCUUUUUAUUUUUUAUUUAAGAAGCAUUAUUCUUUGAUCUGUGUGCACGUGGGAUUGCCAGGGGCAGGGCACCCUCCCUGACGGAUCGGAGUUAGGAGCAGGCUGCCAGGAUUCUGCACUUGGGUCGUUCAGGUGCUUGUCCCAGACAAGUCUUUGUGAGGUGAGAGAACCUGAGCCGGGUCUGGGGGAAGAACAAACCCAGCCAGGCUGCUCUGGCCUCACAGGAGGGACCCUUUGGCCGUGGGGCCACGGAGCUGAGGAAUUCCCGGUACCUGGAGCCGUGUGGAUCCCGUCAGUGUCACGGAACACGGAGUCUCCUUGCUCUGCAGGGACAAGGGUUGGUGUUUCCUGUGCAGCAGCAGAGAAUUGGGGUUGGUUUCGAGACAGAAAAGCCCCUCUGAGUCUGUCCAGGCGCUCUGGAAAUGCUUCAGUUGAUCUUCAUUUCAUGGACGUUGUUGUCUUGAAUUAAACUUUUUUCCCUUUGGCA